AACAAAAGGAAGCUUUACACACAGGUAGGCCCAAGGAGCUGUAUUCUGAUCGCCUAGACGGCCAAAGCAAAGCCAGCGUGCUCGGGUAUAAUGGGCGUAACCGCACUGUUAUUCUCUAUUUGUUAAAAAUAUGGACUAUGCACCUAAAACAAGAGGAUGCACCACGUCUGUAGACGUGCGACGGACGGCCCACCCAGAGCGGGCACACAGCCUCAGCGCGCAGGGGGCGUGGCUCCAUGCGGCCCCUCCCCGAGGCGAUGGCGCGGGUGCUGGUGGGGGCCGCAUGAGCACGAGCCGCAGCGCGCGGGACCCCGCCUGCACUGCCGACUUGGGCGCACAGUACAUCAGCCGGCGCGCGGGGGCGCGCGGCAGCUUCUACGAGGAGCUCCUGUCUCGUGGCGUCCUGAAGCCGCUGUCUGCACAAGUUGAGGGAUUGCUGGAGAAAGAGGGUAGUAGUGACUACGUGGCACCUCAGGGCAUCUCCUCCGUUGUCAAGUACUAUUUACAGCAGUCCGGUGCAGAUGUCUUCUAUGAACACCAUGUAACUCACAUCUCUCUCCGAGAUGGGAAGUGGGAAGUCUCCAGGAAAAUGGGAUCACCGGAACUGUUUGAUGUAGUCAUUCUCACAAUGCCUGUUCCACAAAUCCUUCAGCUGCAGGGUGACAUUGUAAACAUAAUUAAUGAAAGGCAAAAGCAGCAACUGGAAUCAGCAAGCUACUCCUCCCGCUAUGCUCUGGGACUUUUUUAUGAAGUCGGUGCACAGCUUGAUGUCCCCUGGGCUGCAAAGUACAUCACCGAUAAUCCCUGCAUACGGUUCAUCUCCAUCGAUAAUAAGAAACGCAAUAUAGAGUCUCCUGAAGUUGGACCCUCUGUUGUAGUUCAUACAACAGUGACAUUUGGAAAAGAGCAUCUGGAUUCAGACCCUACAGAGGUGCAGCGGCUAAUUCUCAGCCACCUGAAGAGCCUUCUGCCCUUCCUGCCCAAAGCAGCCAGUGUCAAGUGUCAGAAGUGGAGAUACUCACAGAUGGAAUGUUAAGUGCUCACGGACAUGUUCGUCUGCAGAAAAUCCCCAGCAUGGGGCAGCCUGGGCUCCCUGUAGCGAUGUCUGGUUUCCUAUUUGCAAGCAGAGAGAUGAUGUGACUGGCUUUCCCAUGCGAGGCCUGUGUCUUGGCUGUGGAAAAAUUGUCCCAGGAGGUCCAGCAACUCAAAGAAGGUAUGUCUUGUUCCUCUCUUAUACAAACCAAUAUCUCAGCUAUUAGAAAAGUGUUCCUCUGCUUGAGAGAAAGGAUAUAGUGGGUACCACACCAUGUACCAUCCUGUGUGACCUGUUUUACAUGUGUGACCAUGCAGAAGGAUAUGAGGAAGUGGGAUGGAAAACCCUCCUUGGCCCUACAGGCACAGGUACGUGAGUCGCGAGGGAAGAUCCUUCCAGGAAAAUGGUGGCUCCAGUUUCCAGCAGGCCAUUCUCCAGACAGAGAAGAUGGUCUGAGCUUAUCUCUGAAGUUGACAAUGAGCCUUCUGUUGCUCAUACACAAGAAAUGAGUAAUGAAUACAAUAACCAGAACUAGAGGGAACCUGCCUACAGCCAGGUGGAGGAAAAGCGCAAUUGGAUUUACUGGACUGUGUGGAUUUGAUGGCCUGGCACAUCAGAACCAUAGAAAUACGGGGCUCUAGCAGACACUGGUACACAAUAUACUCUAAUGUCAUCAAGUUCUAAAGGAACAAAACAGUAUUGUAUUUUUGGUGUGACGGGGGAUACCAAGAGUUGACUGUAUUGGAGGCUGAAGUGAGCCUAACUGGAAAUGAGUGCCAAAGCACCCCAUUGCAGCUGGCCCAGAGGCUCUGUGCAUCCUUGGUAUAGAUUACCUCAGAAGAGCUACUCCGAGGACCCAAAAGGGUACCAGCGGGAUUUCGGUAUAGCUGCCUCAGAGAUGGAGGUCAUUAGGUAGCUGUCCGCCUUGCCUGGUCUCUCAGAGGACCCUUCUGUUGUGGGGUUUCUAAGAGUAGAAUAACAGCAGGUGCUGAUUGCUACUACAAUGGUGGCAACAUCACACCAGCUGGGACUCCCUCAUUUCCGUUUGUCAUCUGAUUCAUCAGCUGGAGAACCAAUGAGUAAUCAGCAAGACUCGCUCACCCUUCCAUUGUCCCAUAUGGACAAUGCAAAAGUCCAGUGGAGGGUGGAGACUGACAGUGGACUACUGUGGCCUGAAUGAAGUCACACUACCACUAAGUGCUGCUGCGCCAGACUUGCUAGAAUUCCAGUACGAACUGGAGUCAAAUGCAGCACAGGUGUGCUGCAACUGACAUCGCUAAUACGUUUUUCUCAGUUUCUCUGGCAGAAGAGUGCAGGUCACUGCUUUUACUUGGAGAAGUGUCCAGUACACCUGGAAUUGACUGACUGCCAAAGUGGUGAGUAUACAGCCCCACCAUUUGUCAUGGGCUGAUCCAGACUGGACUGGAACAAGAGGAAGCUCCUGAACAUCUGCAGUGCAUUGAUGACAUCAUCAUGUGGGGCAAUACAGUAGAAGAAGUUUUUGACAAAAGGAAGAAAAUAAUUCAAAUCCGUUUGAAAGCCAGUUUUGCCAUAAAGCAAAGUAAGGUCAAGGGACCUGCACAGGAGAUCCAGUUCUUAGGGAUAAAAUGGCAAGAUGGACAUUGUCAGAUUCCUGUGCAUGUGAUCAACAGGAAAAACUGCUGUGUCCCCAUCAACUACCAAAAAGGAAAUACAAGCUUUCUUAGGUGUUGUGGGUUUCUGGAGAAUGCAUAUUCUGGAUUACAGUCUGAUUGUAAGCCCUCUUUAUCAACUGACCCAGAAGAAGAAUGACUCCACGUGGGGCCCUGAGCAAGAACAGCCUUUUAAAAAAAUUAUAAAGGAGACAGUUUGUGCAGUAGCCCUUGGGCCAGUACAGACAGGACAAGACGUAAAAAUGUGCUCUACGUUGCAGCUGGGGAGAAUGACCCCACCUGGAGCCUCUGGCAGAAAGCCCCAGGGGAGACUCACUGAUGGGUCCUGUUGCAUCAUGGGAAAGAAAUGGAGGUGGAAGGCAGAUGUAUGAUGUACUACAUGGCGAGCUGCAGAAGCUACUGAAGGAAAGGGUGAAUUGAUCCAAUUUGCAGAAGUGAAGGCCAGCCAGCUGGCUUUAGACAUUGCUGAAUGAGAGAAGUGGCCACUGCUCUACCUCUACACUGACUCCUGGAUGGUGGCAAAUGCCCUGUGGGGUGGUUACAGCACUAGAAGCAGAAAAACUUGUAGCACAGAGGCAAACCCAUCUGGGCUGCUGCAUUGUGGAAACAUAUUGCUGCCCAGGUAGAGAAUGUGGUAGUAAAGGUAUGUCACGUAGAUGCUCAUGUACCCAAGAGUCAUGCCACUGAAGAACAUCAAAACAACCAGCAGGUGGAUCGGGCUGCUAGGAUUGAGGUGGCUCAGGUAGAUCUGGACUGACAACAUAAGGGUGAAUUAUUUCUAGCUCAGUGGGCCUGUGACAUAUCAGGCCACAAGGGAAGAGAUGUAGCAUAUAGAUGGGAUUGGGAUUGUGGGGUGGACUUGACCAUGGACGCGGCUGCACAAGUUAUCUAUGAAUAUGAAACAAGCACUGUAAUUAAGCAAGCCAAGUGGAUAAAACCUCUUUGGUAUGGAGGAAGAGAGCUGAAAUACAAAUACAGGGAGGCCUGGCAGGUGGAUUAUAUCACACUCCCACAAACAAACCAUGGCAAACGCCAUGUGCUUACAAUGGUGGAAGAAACCACUGGAUGCCUGGAAGCAUAUCCUGUGCCACCACCUGAAAUGCUAUCCUGGGUUUUGAAAAGUAAGUCUUGCGGUAACACUGCACCCCAGAAAGAACUGAGUCAGACAGUGGGACUCAUUUCCAAAACACUCUCAUAACCUCCUGGGCCAAAGAGCAUGGCAUUCAGUGGGUAUAUCACAUGCCCUAUCAUGCUCCAGCCUCUGGAACACUGAAUGAUACAAUGGACUGUUAAAGACUACACUGAGAGCAAUGGGUGCUGGGACAUUCAAACGUUGGGACACACGUUUAGCAAAAGCCACCUGGCUAGUCAGCACUUGGGGAUCUGCCAAGUGUUGGUCCUGCCCAAUCAAACCUCCUACAUACAAUAGAAGGGGAGAAAGUGCUGGUGGUGCACGCAAAGCACGUGCUAGGCAAGACAGUCUGGGUUCUUCCUGCCUCAGGCAAAGGCAAUCCUGUUCAUGAAAUCAUAGAAUCAUAGAAUUGCUCAUGUUGGAAAAGACCUUCAAGAUCAUUAAGUCCAACUGCAACCUAACCAUACUACCUUAAGUAGUCCUUCAUGGGACUGCUUUUGCUCAGGGACCUGAGUGCAUAUGGUGGGAAUCAUCCCUCAUGCACUGAAGGACUGUUAUGACAGAUGGAGCUCAGAGUUAUGAACUAAAUGAACACCAUGGACAAUUUGUGUGGCUAGCCCACAGACUAUGGAAAUAAUGUGUGUGUAUAUAUAUGUGUAUGUAUGUGUAUAUAUACAUGUGUGUAUAUAUAUAUGUAUAUAAAGGAAGAUAGGUGAUGGUAAUUAGUUAAGUACCACAAUUUCUACACAUCCUGAGCAUGAUAUAAAUUGUAUGGAAUAAGGAGUGGGUGUUGUCUUAGUUUCAGCUGGGAUGGAAUUGUUUUCUUCAGAGUGUCUGGUAUGAUGCUAUGUUUUGGUUCUAGGAAGAAAACAAUGUUGAUAACACACUGGUGUUUGUAGCUGCAGUGAUAUACGGAGCCAAGGCCAUUCUCAGAGAUGGGCCCAGGAAGCUGGGAGGGAACAGAAUGAGGGCAGCUGACUUAAGCUGACCAAAGGGAUAUUGAAUACCACAUGACAUCAUGUAGAGAAGGUGAUGGGAGUUAAUUUCACUCUUUCCUGCUGCUUGAGAGCUAACUGGGCAUUAAUCAAAGAAUGGUGAGCAAUUGCUUGUGCAUCACUUGUGAUAUACAUUCAUAUUAAUAUAUAUAUAUACACAUACAUAUAUACUCAUAACUAUUUUCCUUUUCUCUCUCUUAGUAAACAGCUUUAUCCCAAUGCACAGAUUCUACUUUCCACCCACCCUUCCCCUCAAUUCUCUCCCCAGUCUCACUGGGAAGAGGUGGGAGUGAGUGAAGGACUGUGGUGCUGAGCCACCUGCUGGGUUAUACCACCAGAGCAGCUUGGAGCCCUGGCGCUGGUCUUUCUGAGAGUGGGGCUGAAGAAGAGGCCUUUACCCCAGCGUACCUCCAGGCCCAGGAGAGGAGUUGACCAUCAGGAGGAGCUUGUACUAUCCUGCACUGAAAUCUUCCUGCCAGGAGAUCUGAGCAAUGUGGCUUUGGACACAGUGUUUAGAGAGAUCACUGUGAGGCCAGAGGAAGGACUCAGCUUGCUUCUUGUUUCUCUCGCUUCAGUCUGCUAACAGUCUGGUCCUUCUAGGACCAGCCAGUCUAGAGAAUGAAGGCUCCUGCAGACUGGGUCUCUAUGGUGGUGCUGGCAGAUGAGCUUCCAGUCCUCACCUACCACAAGACUUUUUUCUCAUUGCAGUGUUAGAAGUAUCUGUUUAUUGUAGCAAAACUGAGAAGUAUUGCAAACAUUGCUGUCUUGGGACAUCAGAAAAUUAAACAAGUCCCAUGGCAUAGACUCAAACUGUAAACUGGACUGUGCUGUAUGAAAUCACAAUAGUGGACUGCCAAAGCCAGCCAACUCAGGGAUAGGUGCUACCUUGGUAUUAUAACAAGUACUUUGCCUUUAUCUACUGAAGAUGCUGAAUUUAGAGCCAUGUUUUUUUAGAGCGACAUCCAGAGACAGCUCCCUUCCAUAACAUUUCCAGCAGGCAUACAGAACUUUACAGAACAGGUUUAAAAGGAGGAAAAAGCUGGAGCCUGUAGUUCAGUAAAUUCUGCUAUAUGACUGCACAUGGUACUGGAAAGCAGGUACUGGGUCUGGAGUCCUCUAUGGGCCAGCUCAGUACAGUAGACAAAACACAGGCAUGGUGCCAGGGUUUUCCCAAAUAAUCAUCAGUUUCUGAACAUUUGAUGCUAGAUGGCCUCUGGAGAUCUCUAAUCCAACCUGUUGCCCAAAGCAGAGAUAAAUAUGAUUAGCAACUGCAUUAGAUUCUUGAGAAAAGCAUUCAAAACAAUGGAAUCAAAACAUUCAAAUAAAUUGCCAGCUACUUCAUUGAAAAUGUAACAAAGAUCUUCAUGCCUUAUGUUACCCUGUUUUAGGUCCCAACUGCCAUUAACAUUCAACAUCUAGUCUGUCAAAGGCUGUCUGAAAACUAGUCGCCACCAGGUUUCCUUUGUUCAGCCCUGACCCUUAACCCUGGCUUUCAUGAUCACCACUCCUCAUCGGUCUGUGAAACCACAGCCUGUUUCUGAGACUUAGAGCCUGGAAGAUUUGUCUUGUAAACUGAAAGGUGGCUUUGCAGAGGCAUUUUGUCUUGCAGAUAUAGUGGUGCCUAUGUGCAGCAGACACCAGUAAUUUGGGCUAUUAUCUUGCAAACUUACAUACAUGUGCAGUUUAGGUAAGUUCUGAAGAGUUGCAGACCUGUAAGUCUUUUCAGAAUUCAGACCUUGGAUUUGGUGGCUUUGUUUUUAAGAUUUUGUAUGUAGAUACUCAGACAGGUAAAUGUGCACAAAGAACCACCACAGGCUUCCCAGAAGCUUCACUUCCCAUUCACACCUCCUAAGAGCAGCUGCUGCUCAAGGGCUUGUCUGUAAAUCUGACCUGAAGGAUGCUCAGGAGGGAAGAUGCCUUUCUCAAGUUCAGUUCCUUUUCACAGUGUUUCAAAUAUAUAGCAACUUGGCAGAUCCAUGCUAAUCGAACCCACCCCUGGCUGCAAGAUGAGGAAAGAGCAGCAUUUUGCCAUGGAGAAUUGUCACUCCUUUGGCAUCGACACUUUUGCUUAGAUGGCUUUAGGUCUAUGAUUUAAUAGCAUAUAGUUCACGGUGUGCAUCUUGUGUUUUUGUUUAUUCCUGGCUGAAACCAGCAUUGAGUCACUACAGAAAUUGUUUACUUUGCUAUUGUCAAUAGAAACUAAAGGUCAAAUAAUCAGAAUGGAAUCUGUGGAUAUAAUUUAGUAUCUGUUGAUAUUUUUGCUGAGGAGUACUAAUAAAAAUAUUUGUUUGGCCAAGGAAGCUCCAUGGAAAAAACAAAGGAGUUCAUGCAGUUGGAAACUGGAGAAAAAUAAGCCAAGCCUCUCCACAUUGGAAAACACACAGCAGACUUUUUCAACCCAUCCUAAAGCCUCUUGUGUUCGCUUCGUUAAUGGUGAAGCACAAGUCAGUUGGAGGAAAGCCUGCAAGACAUGCCUGCAUUUCUGUCACAACAACUUCCCAUAGAGCAUCACACUAAAUGAGCACCACUUGGAAUGGCUGGCUCUAUGUGUCUUUGCUAUCUAGGUAUGCAAGGAAAAGAUGAACUAAAAGAUGAACUGAACACAUUUCCAUGAGAUUAGAGGACAGAGUUGAACUUAGGGUGUUUUACUAUCUUCCCCCGCUGAUUCUGUACCUCACCAGUGAGGUUCUCCUGAGUGUAAGAUCAGUACUUAAAGUCCACUCAUCUCCUCACAGUGAAGAGCCAAUAAUGUUUAAUUGAGUUGUCAUUAGUGUCUGCCAUGAGCAAAAUAGUCUAAAAUAAGGACCGGUGCAAAACUGCAAUGAAACUUGAAUCAUGUUUGUAAAAAAAAAUUAAAGAGGGGUAAGGUCUCAUUUUUAAGUCAUCUGCUCAGAACUGCUGUGGGUUCAAAGGGGGCAAAGCUGCAACAUACUUCAGUAGCGUUACCCGACUUCCGAUUCAUUAGCGUGGGACUGUGAGUAAUUUUGAAACCCUCACCCCUGAAGUGGAGCCAAAUUGCAGCAAGUGAAUCACCCAGGAGACUGAGACCCUCUUCUGCUCCUAUAUACAUUGCAAAUACAUUGCAAAAUUGUAUGCAUUUCUUUGCUUAUUCAGCAGUUUGCUGCAAGAGGCUUUUAUCUUGACAAUGUUGCUUACUGGCUCAGUUCGUGAAUUAUGGGGUGUGAGAGACCCUGUAGUCUUCUUUUCACAAAGAAACUUAAUAACACGAGUUUUCUGAAACAGAAUGCUUUUUCAUACUUCCACACAAGUUUUUUUUCCAUCCUUCAGUCUCUGAACUCUGGGCUUCAUCACAAAAUAUUUAGCUUGAAUCAGGAUGUAAAGCAGAAAUCACUCAUGCACAAUGCCUUGAUCAUUUUAUCCAUCUUCACAGGGGAAUGUCUCUUAGAUUUCCUGCAUCAGAAGAACAUGAAAAUGGCUAUAUUGGCUCAAAUCCACUAAACCCAGAACACUCUCUUGAGUUGUGGCCAAAAACAUGGGGAAGGGCAUAAGAACAAGAAAAGCACAUAGGGAAAUUUCAGCUGGGUGCUCUUACUGCUUCUGAGACUUUGCUCUUCAGGGACUUUAUGAAGCUGGUUGUCGGGGGGACCUAUCAGUGACUCCUGGGUUUUCCCUGGAAGCAUGAAAGCAGUCAGCACUGUGCAUUUUGGGCUCUGGUGUGACAGUGAGGUGAUCCUGAGGUGCUGCACCCACCACAAGGGAUGGGGAGGUGCUGGGCACUCCUAGGAGAGGUGGGUAGCAGCCACCAAGCUUGGCCUCGGCAGGGAAGGAUGGGGGGAUAAAGAGGGCUGUACCUGUUUGUAUGAGCAUUGCUAAGAAUUAUUCAACCACAAUAGCAGUUGGAAACCUAGGAGCGGUAAGGAGAACCAGAACACUUCCAGCAGUCUUUCUAACAUUGCUUUAAAGUCCUAAGGAAUGAGCACGGAGCUCCCAAAGUCUGCACUGGCAAGGAAAAAAAUUGGGUUGCCUUUCCGUAGAAGCAGUAAGCUGGAAUUUUGUCCUAGAUUAUGAGCUAAAAUGCAAAUAUGAAUAUGAAUAUGAAAUUGAAUAUGAAAUGGGUGAAUAAAAUGCAAAUAUGAAAAGGUGAAUAUCCUUAAUUGUGUAGGAUUUCUUCUGUUUGACAUCAGGGAUAGUUUGGUUUCCAUUCCUCAGAUGGCUAUAAACCUGUUAGGACCAAAAUAAUGGAGGCAGUACUAAUCCAGGGAGGGCAGGCAGUGUUUUAUAUUGAGUACUUCCUAAUAUUUAGUACUGGACAGCAAUACAUUUUGUAGUAGAGUACAUGGGUUUAACCACUCCAUUAUUGUGCUUUUCUGGAAGCAUGCCUGGGAAUACAGUGAACUUCAGCAAAUGGAAGCUGAAAUCCUAACACUUUUUCAUUUAUUAGCCACCACUUCAUGAUUAACAGAAGACAUUUUUACAAAGAGACUUUCUGAAACCCCAAGAAAAAACAAAUGCAGCAUGAGAAAGCUUAUCCAGAUUCAGCCAUGCUCAACAUCUCUGCGAUCCCAGGGCUGGUUGAGGCCCCCAGCAGUUCCAGUAGGGAUUCCACCCCUGACUGCCAGCCCAGCAAACCUGGUUCCCCAUGCAGGGCUCCAUCCAUUUUGUGGUGUCCUCCUUUCCUAUCUGCGAAGUCCUGCCCCUAACCCCACUGUCCCGCCACAGGUGCUUGUACAGCUGGUGGAAAGGAUUCAGCUGGGCUGAGUGCACUUCUAAGGGCUGUUACAGGAAUUUCUUAAUUAACCGUACACCUCACUUAAAAAUGUAAAACAAUGUGGAAGUGCCAAGGCCAAUUGAGGGACAGCUAGUUUGCAUAAGAUACUGUGUUUUGUUUUGUUUUGUUUUGUUUUGUUUUGUUUUGUUUUGUUUUGUUUUGUUUUGUUUUGUUUUGUGUAGGAACAUAUGGACUGCAUUAACAUUUUGGCACAUGGAAAGAAGGGGCUAAACAUUCCUCGCUGUCACCUCCUCCUGCCAGUGCCAGUGCAGAUCCUUUCUGUGGGGCUGCUGGGUGGGAUGAAGCUAUGCACAGGUUUAAUUGGGCAAUUUGGAAACCUCAUGCUUGCUGAUGCACUUCAUGGACGCAAUUCUUGCACACUCCUGCCGCAGUGGGAGCAUCCAUAUGGGAGCUGCUGGCUUCCCUGGGAAUUUGAACAUUGGGAUGCACUGGAAGACAACUGGAAAGAGGGCUGCAGCAGGACCUGACUCUUCUGCAAGCUACAGAUUGGACUUCAGGACACUUCAAUGAAUUUUUUUUUUAUACUAUCACAUGUUCUGGUGCUUAUGUUGUUUAUAGGUGAUUUUAAAGUCAAUGAUGAGCACAAAUUCCUUUAUAGAAUGAUUCAGAGAAAAGAGAACAUGGUCUAAAACAUUGUCCUAAAUAAAUAUGUUAAGUUACAUACAUAUAAAAUAAUAGAAUAAUAGAAUAUAAUAGUAAGAGAAUAUUCAAAUAUUACAGAAGCUGUUUUUUUCUGUCCAGGAAUUCCUACCUUGCUGUAGAUGUGGAAUGAGUUGUGAGAUGAGAGUUUACUGUUCUGUAUAUCUUCCUAUCAGGUCUUCAGUGGAAUAUGGACAAUGCUCUGCCCACCUGCUCACCUUGUACAUAGCAUAUCAACACAAUCCAAGCAUGCCCAUAGCCCAGCUCAAGGUUUAAAAGCUUCAUGCAGGGACGAAUGCUCAGCAUAAUUAACUUAGAGCACAAAUAGAGGAACAUAUUUUCUAAUUUUAAAAGUUUUUUUAAUUGAUGUUUAAAAAUGAAAAACAAAGUGUAUCCUUUCUAUUUGCUACUGGAUGUUUGAAGCUCUAGGAUAGACCUGGCCCAAAUCUUCUGCUGCCUGCAGGAACUUAGAUUCUGUAAGCUGGGUCCAAAGAGCAAGAUCCAAUUCUGUGACUUUAUCAAAGAACAAAGGAUUUAGCUUAUAAGUUGCAAUUAAAAAGGAAGAUGUUUCCAAGAUGUCAGAAGGUUUAAAGAAUCAAUAGGAAUGCAAGGUUCUUAUAUCUGCACCACUUGUUAAUUCUCUUGUCUUCUAUUCUAUAAAUUAAUCAUGUUUUUAAAAAGAAAGGGAAGUGUGUUGAAGAACAGAGGAAUUCUUUUCCACCCUGGACCCAAACAGACAUAGAGGAUGUUCCUUUUGCAGUGAUCAGAUAUCUACAUCUCCUUGAGAAGUCCAUCACCCAUGAGAAAUGGCAACAGUGGCAACCCUCAGGAAUGCAGGCAAAACUCUCUCCAAAGACAGGCAACAAAACCAGAUGGAAAACCAUGUAGGCAAUAAUACAUUCACUCCCAGCAUUUGGUGUCCCACCAAGCAGCAGAGAGGGCUUUCUGCAGUAAAAGAAUGGCCUGUGGUGGGACUCCACAGCGAGUCCUGCAGACACUGGCCUUAGAACACCAAAGAGAAAUGCACCAAGGGAAGCUUUGAGGUGAUCUUCUCCAACGUGCAGCCACACCAGAAGUCACCAGAGCAGUGCUUCUGCCUCCAACACACAUCUGUUUUCUGUUAUUUCGAUAAGAUUUUCUUUGUAGCAUGAAAACAGAAUUGGAUCCACAAUAUUUAAAUACCAACAGUGGGACUUCAGUCUCUACCUCCAUGCAAAUAAACGUAUUUUAAUGUUUGUUUUAAUGUCAAGAAUCCACUUGGCAGGUAGAUGUUCCUUCCAGGGCAGCCCCAGGAAAGGUACUCAUUUAGAAAUGAAUAUUUUUCCUUCUAUCAUGUCUUUGUUCUGCCAUUACAUUCUCGCAUUCACUGCCUGAAGGCUCUGCAUCACACCUCAGAUUGCCUGCAGGGCUUUGCAUUUUGUGGUUUAUUUGGUUCCUGCUCUAACGGGGCUGAAAACUCCCUGGUAGCUGCCUGUUUCUCUAUGUGGAAACUGUUUCUUUAAUCAAACAGAUCAUCAACAUUUAGGUCAUGACAUAGGUAUCUUUGAGAACUAUCUUGUAUGAUUGAGAUGGGUUAGAAGAAAAAUCAGGGCUUGCUAGAUCAGCACACUGUGACCUUGCUUCCGAGGACAGCAGGUCACGGAAAGAAAUCAUGUCUAUCAGAAUACUGCUCCAUUUAGGCAAGAAAAUUGACUAUGUAAAACUAAAACAGUGAGUAAUGGAAACUAAGCUUGAGAUUGUUGUAUGUGUUCUCACACUAAUGAUUGGCAUGCUAAUGAUUGGCGAGAAUGAAGAAGUUAUUUCCAUCAUCUGCUAUGGAUGUUUGAGGAUUUACACUAUCAUUAAGAACACACCCUCAAGUCAGCAGGCGGAAGCUGAAAACAGGAUAACAUUCAACAUUUUACCAGCUCAUAUAAGCAGUGUGAAAAAAAACAUUCAAAGGACAUCCCAAAAUGAAACAGUUCUAACAGGAAAGGGCACAGGAUGGUCCUGUAGACAAAACAAGGCCAUUCACCCGUACAGCAGACAGCCAAGGAAGUUCAGCAUGAGUAAAACAGCCAGCACAACAGAUGUUGAUGUUGACAACAUAUUUCUAGCUGAUGGUCUGUUUUUAUUCUUCUAUCAAAGUCACUUUUAAUAAAAAGAUGAGCCUUUUUUCUCUCUUAUUGAAGCUAUGAAUGCCUCUUAUGGUCAAGAAACUGAGAUUCUUCAUAUCCAUAAACACUGCAUAAAUUUUUUGCUUGCUAUAACUCUGUCCAGAUGCUAGCAUUCUGUUUACCCAUAGAAAUUAGGCACUCUCUUCUUUCCAAUCUCUCUAAGAAAUUCAGCACUUUGACUUACAAUCUUGAAAAUAAAUAAAUAAAUGGAAGAAUGGAAAGAAUAUUUAUGGAAAGCAUACAGCUCAUAGUAUGUUAUAUGUCCUAGAUCUAGUGAAAGGGAAGCAGAGCUUUGAUACUGAAAACAAUAAAGGUCUAAUAAUGUU